GCUGCACCAACGACAACCACAGCUGCACCAACAGCAACCACAGCUGCUCCCACAACCACAACAUUUGCACUAACAUCCCCAGCUGCUGCUAUGACAACAACAGCCACCCCUACAACAACUACAACUGCUCAAACAACAACCACAGCAGUGCCAACAUCAUCCACAGCAGCUCCCACUACACUCACAGCUUCACCAUCGAUCACCGUAGUUGCUGCAAAGACCAGCAACACCCACCACACAACAACCAACGUUUCAGCCACAACAACUACAGCUGCUGUAACUACCACAGCUACAGCUGCACCAACAGCAACCACAGAUCCACCUACAGCAACAACAGCCAAUUCCACAAUGACCUCAGCUUCACCUUCGACAACCACAGCUGCACCUACAGCAACAACAGCUACUCCCAGAACAACCACAGCUGCUUUCACAAUAACCACAGCUUCCCCCACAACAAAUGCAGCUGAUGCUACAACAGCAAAAGUGGAGGCUUCAACAACCACAGCCGUACCCACAACAAACACAGCUACUCCCAUAACAAACACAGUUGAUCAAACAACAACCACAUUUAUACCAACGACAAUGACAGCUCCUGUUAAAACAACAGUGGCUCCCACAACAACAAGAGCUCCCACAACAACCACAGUGGCUCCCUCUACAACAACAGCUGCCAUAACAAAUGCAACAACAAAAGCUUCUGUAACAACCAUCACUACAAGCCCUACCACAAUUACAGCUAACCUCACAACAACCACAGGUGCUCCAACGACAUCCACAGCUGCAUCCACAGCUACCACAGCUGCUCCCAAGACAACCACAGCUGCACCAACAGCAACCACAGCUGCUCCCACAACCACAACAUUUGCACUAACAUCCCCAGCUGCUGCUAUGACAACAACAGCCACCCCUACAACAACUACAACUGCUCACACAACAACCACAGCAGUGCCAACAUCAUCCACAGCAGCUCCCACUACACUCACAGCUUCACCAUCGAUCACCGUAGUUGCUGCAAAGACCAGCAACACCCACCACACAACAACCAACGUUUCAGCCACAACAACUACAGCUGCUGUAACUACCACAGCUACAGCUGCACCAACGGCAACCACAGAUCCACCUACAGCAACAACAGCCAAUUCCACAAUGACCUCAGCUUCACCUUCGACAACCACAGCUGCACCUACAGCAACAACAGCUACUCCCAGAACAACCACAGCUGCUUUCACAAUAACCACAGCUUCCCCCACAACAAAUGCAGCUGAUGCUACAACAGCAAAAGUGGAGGCUUCAACAACCACAGCCGUACCCACAACAAACACAGCUACUCCCAUAACAAACACAGUUGAUCAAACAACAACCACAUUUAUACCAACGACAAUGACAGCUCCUGUUAAAACAACAGUGGCUCCCACAACAACAAGAGCUCCCACAACAACCACAGUGGCUCCCUCUACAACAACAGCUGCCAUAACAAAUGCAACAACAAAAGCUUCUGUAACAACCAUCACUACAAGCCCUACCACAAUUACAGCUAACCUCACAACAACCACAGGUGCUCCAACGACAUCCACAGCUGCAUCCACAGCUACCACAGCUGCUCCCAAGACAACCACAGCUGCACCAACAGCAACCACAGCUGCUCCCACAACCACAACAUUUGCACUAACAUCCCCAGCUGCUGCUAUGACAACAACAGCCACCCCUACAACAAAUACAACUGCUCACACAACAACCACAGCAGUGCCAACAUCAUCCACAGCAGCUCCCACUACACUCACAGCUUCACCAUCGAUCACCGUAGUUGCUGCAAAGACCAGCAACACCCACCACACAACAACCAACAUUUCAGCCACAACAAGUACAGCUGCUGUAACUACCACAGCUACAGCUGCACCAACGUCAACUACAGCUAAUGUAACUACCACAGCUACAGCUGCACCAACGUCAACUACAGCUGCUAAGACAACAACAACUGUUUCCCCAACCACCGCAUCCACAAACCCUCCAACGUCAAAUGAAGGUGUACUUAUUCUAAAGUUCCGGAUGAACCGGCUGUUUAUGGAAGCCUACAAAGAUUCAAAUUCCUUGGAUUACAUUACUUUGGCUUUAAAUGUCACAACUGAGUUGACUCGAGGAUACAACAAUAUAUAUCCUGUAAUCUUCCUCAGAAUCAUCAUCAUCAGUUUCUGGCCUGGAUCUGUGGGCGUGACAACCAACUUGAUCUUCAAGAAUCAGUCAGUGGUCCCUAACCUUACAGAUGCAGUGGAAUCCCUCAAGACAUCCAUCAACACGUCCACAGUUUUCUUAGAUGUUAUUCCUGGCAGUAUCAAAGCUGAAAUCCGGAACUCCCCGACUAAUGCCACAACUACUGCUACGACUACUGCUACGACCACUGCUACGACCACAGCUACGACCACUGCUACGACCACUGCUACGACCACAGCUACGACCACUGCUACGACCACUGCUACGACCACUGCUACGACCACUGCUACGACCACUGCUACGACCACUGCUACAACCACUGCUACGACUACUGCAACCACCACGCCAGCAGCAGCCACGAAACCUACAGAGGGUUCACAUACCAGCAGCGCUAUGGGAAGAAACAGACCUCAAGAAAUGGUCACUUUACUACUUGCUUUAAUGCUGAUCUAUUUCUUCUGAACAGAAUAACUCUAGGACUCAAUUAAACCCAUUAAGUAUAAGAUAUUCCACAAUAAAGGAAUAUGUAACUUCAGCUAUUAAGAUUAAGAGAUGUUAAGAAACAGCUAAUACUAGCUUAGUUAAAGUAAUUGUUUAUCAUUAUGAUUAUGUUUAAAACUGUUAGUCUAUUUUGUUUUGUACAAAAUUGACCUCAAUAGAAAAUGUGCUGGUAAUGUGAUGAAGCUAAUUCUGCUAAUGCCAGAAACUGGAUUAUUGUGUGAAUGAAAGUAAAUGUGUUGUGUUUUGAUAUUUAAUAUUUAUAUUUGUUUUAGUAUAUCACAA